UGGCUAUAUAUCAUCUUUCAUUGAAAAAGCUGAACAAUCAACGGUACAAUCCAAUAUUCAUUUCUGACUUUCACUGUAAAAGUCAGAAAAUCCAUUAUCUAACUACCGACUAUAUUUUGAUUUUCUCAAAGAAAACUGACAUCCCAAGUGUGAUCUUAGACCAAUAUCAAAUAUAAAGGCUUUCACUGCAAAAGCCAUAGAAUCGACUACAUCUCGGC
rnacentral:lncRNA from 1 species